ensembl:lncRNA
GGGGUCUGGGCCACUGGGACCACAUGGUGGGGGGGUCUGGGCCACUGGGACCACAUGGUGGGGGGGUCUGGGCCGCAUUGUUGUCGAUGUGGAUGUGUCCACACAGAAUGUGUUCUGGGUAACACAUGGGGUUAGGUUCAAGCGGGUAACACAUAGGGUUAGGUAACAUGGGGUUAGGGUAAGGUAAAACAUAGGGUAAGGUAACACAUGGGGUAAGGGUUAGGUAACACAUGGGAUUAGGGUUAGGCAACACAUGGGGUUAUGGUUAGGUUCCACCGGAGCAUGUCAGCUGGGUAGGGGGCCUUCCGAUGAUUAGGACAACCCUAUGUGAUAACAUACAUGAAGGUAAUGCAGCUGACUUGGCUCACAACGCUUCAGCAAAGAACGAACAUCUCAGGCUGGGUGACGACAGUCGUAGAUUGCAACAGAAGCGCAACGAGGACACCUGGUGGGGACAAGGGCGGGAACGCAGAAGGGAAGCCCGUGGAAAGUAGCAUCGAUCCCUAUGCCAUUUGGACCAUUUGCAGUGGGACCCGCUUUGUCCCUAGUGCAGUGGGGCCCGGAUGGACCCUCUUGCAGUGGGGCCUGAUGUUAUGAGCUAUCUAUGUGACAUGCUUGUUCACGCUUUCCCAGAUCAUUCAGUUGUAGCGUGGAGUUCACGUCAGCAGAUUCGUAUCAAUUCCACGAACGUAACUGUAUUUUGUACGUUUCAUCUAAAAUGUCCUGUUGUAAAUGGCUUGCAGAGUAGGCCUACCACAUUAAAGUAACGUACAACCCUAGUGAUGGCCUAAAUGGACAGGAUACCAUACCAUAGUUAGGUUGACAUGAACCAUUCAUUAGAGAGCCACAUUCUUGUGUUUUAUAAGAACGUUAUCGACAGUUGUUUUUUAAAUGAAUCGGUUAUUGGACUAUAUGAGGUUUGCAAUGCACACAGAUAACCAUUUGUCUUAAACUAGCCCCAGCCAAAAUUACUAUAACGUUUGGUCUACGCGAAUGGAAAUGAUGUAGGCCUACGAGUUUAUUUGCAUAUAGCCAGGGAAAUUAUCUGAUCACAAGUGGUCACGUUCCGAGGCCCCGUGUGCACCGACACACGGUGUCCACGUGUGUCUAUCGCCUAAGACGCGCUACCAGAUGUGAACCGGGCCGAUACCGGUCCCAUCAGACCAGCUGAAGGAACACGGCGGGCGGUCCCGUCUCUCCUACCGUCCACGGCUCUGGCGUCAUAUAGUUUACCAGCUUGCCAUGCAUAUGUCCCAGAAAAAGGUGAUAAUUGCCAUGCGUGGGUAAACAUAAACACGUCUUAUCUCCCCGUGAAGCUGUGGAUCAGUGUCACAUGCAGGGGCGGUUCAGGGAGUUGAGGAUGCUCGAGCCGCUCGGAGGCUGGACCACCUGGGAACCACAUCCAUCAUAACCCAGUCGUUGUAAGAUCACAGAGGACUUAGAGCUAAUCUGCGAGGAGGGUUUCUUCAGGGAAGGAAGAGAACCUGAACCUUAUUUAUUUGAGCCAGAAUACACGGAAGCGGAACUACAGAGUUGGGACGAGAAGCGGGUCAGAAGCAAGCCCCCAGGAACUGUGCAUACUUCCGCCAUCCGACAGUGCUCAGCGGCCAAGCCUGGUAUUGCAGCUGUUUAAGCGGGCUGUGGACGGGUACUGUCACGUUAAAAUUGUACCGGGGGCGAAAAUUGUACCGGCCUACGUCAUCGUUUGUUUACAUCCUGACAACCUGACAACCUGCCCGGCAACAGACGAUGCGAUGCAGAAAACAUGUUUCCAAACGACGAAAUAACAUAAUACAGAUAGCGGAUCGCUAUC